rnacentral:rRNA from 1 species
UCGAGCGAGAACCAGUCCUUCGGGACUGGGGACAGCGGCGAACGGGUGAGUAACACGUGAGUAAUCCACCCUCGGUACCGGGAUAGCCCGGGGAAACCCGGAUUAAUACCGGAUGGCCCAUUUGUCUUUCGGGAAUAAAUGGAAAAGGUAGCGCUUUGCGCCUCCGACCGGGGACGAGCUCGCGGCGGAUUAGCUUGUUGGCGGGGUAAUGGCCCACCAAGGCGACGAUCCGUAGCUGGUCUGAGAGGACGAUCAGCCACACUGGGACUGAGACACGGCCCAGACUCCUACGGGAGGCAGCAGUGGGGAAUCUUGCGCAAUGGGCGAAAGCCUGACGCAGCGAUGCCGCGUGAGGGAAGAAGGCCUUCGGGUUGUAAACCUCUUUCAGGAGGGACGAAGCUACUCGGGUGAAUAGCCCAGAGGGUGACGGUACCUCCAGAAGAAGCCCCGGCUAACUACGUGCCAGCAGCCGCGGUAAUACGUAGGGGGCAAGCGUUGUCCGGAUUUAUUGGGCGUAAAGAGCGUGUAGGCGGCCUGGAAGGUCAGCUGUGAAAACUCGAGGCUCAACCUCGAGACGUCGGUUGAAACCACCUGGCUAGAGUCCGGAAGAGGAGUGUGGAAUUCCCGGUGUAGCGGUGAAAUGCGCAGAUAUCGGGAAGAACACCCGUGGCGAAGGCGGCACUCUGGGACGGUACUGACGCUGAGACGCGAAAGCGUG